rnacentral:rRNA from 1 species
AGUCAAGCUACUAAGGGCACAUGGGGGAUGCCUUGGCGCCAGAAGCCGAAGAAGGGCGUAGUAAGACUGCGAUAAGCCACGAUUAGCUGCCUAACAAGCUUAGUCGUGGAUGCCCGAAUGGGGGAACCCAUCUACUUCGGUAGUUGCCUUAGUCGUGAGACUUUGGCGGUAAGCGGGGGAACUGAAACAUCUAAGUACCCCGAGGAAAGGAAAUCAACCGAGACUCCCCUAGUAGCGGCGAGCGAACGGGGACUAGCCCAAACCACAAGAGCCUAACGGACUGGAGUCUUAUGCCUUUGUGGUGUUGUAGGGCCGGGCCCGAGAAAUCUCCAGAUUUCUCAAAGAGUUAUAAAACGUACAUUUAGUCGAACAGUCCUGGAACGGCUGGCCGCAGUGGGUGAAAGCCCCGUAGACGAAAAGUGUGCGACUCUUAGCCCGGUUCCUGAGUACGACGGGACACGUGAAAUCUUGUCGGAAUCUGGGGGGACCACCCUCCAAGGCUGAGUACUUCUGGCGACCGAUAGUGAACAAGUACCGUGAGGGAAAGGUGAAAAGCACCCCGUGAGGGGAGUGAAACAGAACUGAAACCAUGUGCCUACAAACCGUAGGAGUCCUGAAUUUAUUCGGGAUGACUGCGUGCCUAUUGAAGAAUGAGCCAAUGAGUUACGUUGCGUGGCAGGUUAAGGCGUGAUGCGCCGGAGCCGUAGCGAAAGCGAGUCUGAAUAGGGCAAUUCAGUCGCGUGGCGUAGACCCGAAACCGUGUGAGCUACCCUUGGCCAGGUUGAAGCGAAAGUAAUGUUUCGUGGAGGACCGAACCCGUGUAAGUUACAAAUUGCUGGGAUGAGCUGAGGGUAGGGGUAAAAUGCCAAUCGAACACGGAGAUAGCUGGUUCUCCCCGAAAUGCAUUUAGGUGCAGCGUCAAGUUUUACUUUGCGGAGGUAGAUCACUGGAUGGGCCAGGGGGCGUGAGCUUACCAACCCCAACCAAAAUCCGAAUACCGUAAAGGGCAUCUUGGCAGUGAGACAGUGAAGGAUAAGCUCCAUUGUCGAAAGGGAAACAGCCCAGAUCGCAAGCUAAGGUCCCGAAGUGUGUGCUAAGUGUGAAACGAAGUGGGAACGCCCAGACAGCCAGGAGGUUGGCUUAGAAGCAGCCAUCCUUUAAAGAGUUCGUAAUAGAUCACUGGUCAAGGGUUUCUGCACGGAAAAUAAACGGGGCUUAAGCACACCACCGAAGCUGCGGAUUCAUCACGAUUUAUCGAGAUGAGUGGUAGGGGAGCGUUCUUAGUGCAUCGAAGUUAGGUCGUAAGGCCUGGUGGAGCGCUGAGAAGUGAGUAUGUUGGCAUAAGUAGCGACAAUGUCGGUGAGAAUCCGACACGCCGAAAGUCUGAGGUUUCCUACGCUACGCUGAUCGACGUAGGGUUAGGCGGGCCUAAGGUGUAGCCGAAUGGCGAAGCCGAUGGACAGCAGGUCAAAAUUCCUGCCCCGUUUCAGAUUUGUUUGAGCUUUCGGGGGGACGCGGACUGAUAAGCGACGCAUGCCUAUUGGAUAUGGUGUGUGCAUUUCCGUAAGUGAGUGGGGGGAGUUAAAAAGCCCGCCGCGUUUGAACAGAGGGACGUGCGAACCAUGAGGUUAGCCUCACGGAACGUCGCCGAUUCUACGCCGCCUAGAAAAGCCCCGUUAGUGAGAAUUUGAGACGUCCGUACCGAAAACCGACACUGGUAGACAGGGAUAAAUGUCCCAAGGCGUGCGAGACAACCAUCGUUAAGGAACUCGGCAAAUUAACCCCGUAACUUCGGAAGAAGGGGGGCCUCUGGCGUAUUAGGACUUGCUCCGAAAAGCGCUGGUGGCCGCAGAGAAUAGGUUCGAGCGACUGUUUAUCAAAAACACAGGUCCGUGCUAAACCGAAAGGUGAUGUAUACGGGCUGACGCCUGCCCAGUGCCGGUAGGUUAAGGAAGGCGGUGAGAGCUGCCGACUGAAGCCCCGGUGAACGGCGGCCGUAACUAUAACGGUCCUAAGGUAGCGAAGUCCCUUGUCGGGUAAGUUCCGACCCGCACGAAUGGCGUAAC